rnacentral:rRNA from 1 species
UAUCCAUUGGAGGGCAAGUCUGGUGCCAGCAGCUGCGGUAAUACCAGCUCCAAUAGCGUAUAUUAAAGUUGUUGCAGUUAAAAAGCUCGUAGUUGGACUUGUGUGCGCUGUCCGCGGGUGGCCUGCGCCCAAAAGGGCGUUUCGGUUCGGCCCCGGUGGCGCCUUGAAAUCUGCAGCUGGGGGGACGUUGGCCUUAACUGGUCGGCGACCGCACGCCGGCUGCUCGGUUACUGUGAGAAAAUUAGAGUGUUCAAGGCAGGCAUUGGGUGCAAUUGAAUACAUUAGCAUGGAAUAAUAAAAUAUGGCUCCUGCCGUAUUUUGUUGGUUUUGACUGGUGGGAGUAAUGAUUGAUAGGGACGGUUGGGGGUGCUAGUAUUGAGCGGCCAGAGGUGAAAUUCAUGGAUUCGCUCAAGACUAACUUAUGCGAAAGCAUUCACCAAGGACGUCCUCUUUAAUCAAGAACGAAAGUUGGGGGAUCGAAGACGAUCAGAUACCGUCGUAGUCUCAACCAUAAACUAUGUCGACUUGGGAUCGGCGGUAGUUUUUUCAUUAAGACACUGUCGGGACCACGGGAGAAAUCAAAGUGUCUGGACUCUGGGGGAAGUAUGGUCGCAAGGCUGAAACUUGAAGGAAUUGACGGAAGGGCACCACCAGGAGUGGAGCCUGCGGCUUAAUUUGACACAACACGGGGAAACUUACCAGGUCCAGAGAUGUAGAGGAUUGACAGAUUGAAGCUCUUUCUUGAUCACUUCGGUGGUGGUGCAUGGCCGUUCUUAGUUGGUGGAGUGAUUUGUCUGGUUAAUUCCGUUAACGAACGAGACCUCAGCCUGCUAGUGUAGUCGGCUGGAUUGCCUUUGGCGAUCCGUGAUUUCGACUUCUUAGAGGGACAAUCGACGCGCAGUCGAUGGAAGUUUGAGGCAAUAACAGGUCUGUGAUGCCCUUAGAUGUUCUGGGCCGCACGCGCGCUACACUGCUGGGCUCAGCGAGUUUUACUUGGCCGAGAGGCCCGGUUAAUCUUGUGAAAUCCCAGCGUGCUUGGGCUCGCCUCCUGCAACUGGAGGCGCCAACGAGGAAUUCCUAGUAGACGCAGGUCAUCAACCUGCAUCGAUUACGUCCCUGCCCUUUGUACACACCGCCCGUCGUUCCAUAAGAGUGAGGCAUCCGGUGAAUUCUCGGGAGAGCCUGGGCGUGGCCAGCAAUGGUCUGCUCGGGUUUGAACUUGCAUAAACUUGGUGCCUAUGAUUAGGG